rnacentral:rRNA from 1 species
UACGGGGGGGGGCAAGCGUUGUUCGGAAUUACUGGGCGUAAAGGGUGCGUAGGCGGGUCUUUAAGUCAGGGGUGAAAUCCUGGAGCUCAACUCCAGAACUGCCUUUGAUACUGAAGAUCUUGAGUUCGGGAGAGGUGAGUGGAACUGCGAGUGUAGAGGUGAAAUUCGUAGAUAUUCGCAAGAACACCAGUGGCGAAGGCGGCUCACUGGCCCGAUACUGACGCUGAGGCACGAAAGCGUGGGGAGCAAACAGGG